rnacentral:rRNA from 1 species
ACUAACAAGGAUUCCCCUAGUAACAGCGAGUGAAGAGGGAUCAGCCCAAAUUUGUAAUCUGGCUCUUUUCAGAGUCUGAGUUGUAAUUUUGAGAACUGUUUUCUGCUCUGGACCAUGUACAAGUCUGUUGAAAUGCAGCAUCAUUGAGGGUGAGAAUCCUGUUCAUGAUAUGGACUACCAGAGCUUUAUGAUAUAGUCUCUAAGAGUCGAGUUGUUUGGGAAUGCAGCUCAAAGUGGGUGGUAAAUUCCAUCUAAGGCUAAAUAUUGGUGAGAGACCGAUAGCAAACAAGUACCGUGAGGGAAAGAUGAAAAGAACUUUGGAAAGAGAGUUAACAGUACGUGAAAUUGUUAAAAGGGAAACAGUUGAAGUUAGACUUGUUGUUGUUGGUUCAGCUCUUUUAAGGGUGUUUUCUAAUAAUUAACAAACCAAUGUCAAUUUUUGGGUGUUGGAUAAGGGUUAUUGAAAUGUAGCAGUUUUGGCUGUGUUAUAGUCUUUGACUUGGAUACAAUGCUUAGGAUUGAGGAUUGCAGUAAGCCAUUUAUUUGGUGGAACAAUUUAUUGUUCUUCUUGCUGAGGAUAUUGGUG